CAGCAAUGAAGGCACAGGGGAGGUAACCAAGGGGUACUGUUAGAUACCCAAAGAAGGAACCAUUAAGGAAACACUAAUAGACCAGCUGACAUUCUUCCUUUGUGUCCUACUCAAGAAAUAUCAGCUCUUAAAGAAACUGCUAAUAGUUAAGUCAUGGUUUUUAGUCUAAAAUCCUGACUCAGAAAUGUUACACAAUCUUCAUGGGAAUCUAGGAAAAUAUGAUGAUUUAUCUAAGAAACUAAGGUGGCACAAAGAAGAAACCCAGGAAAAAAUAUAGAAAAAAACUGAUUAUAAAAUGAAUCUAGAAAAACAAAGGACCUAGAAUGGCCAAAACAACUUUGAAAAAGAAGAAUGAAGUUGGAGGGCUUAAUACUCGGAUUUUAAGACUUAUUACAAAGCUUCUUUAUCACGACCGUGUGGUAUGAGCAACAAGAAAAGACAACCGGAUCAAUUGAAAAAAAUAGAGAAUCCAUUCAAUCGACUCUCAUUAUGUAUGCACAACGUAUUUAUAGAAGUGGUACAAAGGAGAUUUAGCAGAAACAAGAUAGCCUGAAAUUUUCAGACAUUACUGGUGGGAAUAUAAAAUGGCAAAUGUACUUUGGAAAAUGACUUACAAUUUCUUAAAAAUUAAUAUACACCUAUAUAUAACCCUGCCAUUUCAUCUAUACAUAUUCACCCAAGAAAAAUGACAGCUUAUGUCCAUACAAAGACUUGUACAUAGGUGCUCACAGCAACUUUAUUUGUAAUAGCCCCAAACUGGAAACAGCCAAAAUGUCUAUCAAUAGGUUAACAAACAGACAAAUUGUGGCAAAUCCAUACUCGGCAAUUUUUAAAAAUGAGCUCUUUACAUACUCAACAACAUAUAUAAACAUGCUGAAUGAAAGAAGCCAGUCAGGCUGGGCAUGGUGGUUCAUGCCUUUAAUCCCAUCACUUUGGGAGGCCAAGGCAGGUGGAUUGCUUAAGCCCAGAGUUUGAGAUCAGCCUGGGCAACAUGGCGAAACGGUCUCUACAAACAACAACAAAUAAACAGCAAAAAAUUAGCCAGACAUUGUAGUGCAUGCCUGUUGUCCCAGCUACUUGGGAGGCUGAGGCAGGAGGAUGUGUUGAACCUGGGAGGUCAAGGCUGCAGUGGGCUGUGAUCGUGCCACUGCAUUCCAACCUAGGUAACAGAGUGAGACCCUAUCUCAGAAAGAAGCCAGACAAAAAACAGUUUAUGCUUUCAUUUACGUAAGAUUUCUAAAAUGCAAACUAAUCUGUAGUGACAAAAAACAGAUCAGUGCUUGCCUGGCGAUGAAGAUGAGGGUAGUAGUGCAGGAGGGAGGGAUUUACAAAACAGGCAUAAGAAAAAUUUUGGGUGAUAAAUACGAUUAUAGUUAUCGUUUAUAUAGAGCAUGUUCCUGUUAAAAGUGAUCAAAUAUUUUAUGUGUACAUUAACCUUACAUCAACUAUACCUCAAUAGAAAUACUGAAGUGUUCUGGGUGGUUUCUGAAGUACCUAAAAUAUUAGCAUUUCCAUAUAUCUAUUACACAACUAUCAAAAUACGAUAAUGUAUGUUUACUGACAUAAAAACAUUUCUAUGACAUACUGUUUUUACAAGGCUUUAAAAUUAUAUAUAGUUAUUUUUCCGUUUACAAAGGUAAAUAUAUAAUCUGUACAUCUAAGUAGUGGGAUUCCAAGGGCUUUUUUUCUUCCUCCUAAUUUCUGUUGCCUUUUAUCUUUUACUUUUUGUUUUUAAUGACAAAUGUGUCCACUUAAACAAAGGUAAUAUUCCUCUCUCCCAACUAGCCAUUUCUACUUGCCUGAGGUGAACCUUGCCUCAGCACUCUGUGUCUGAUAUAUAGUCUUCUACACCAUCAUGGCUCAUACAAAUAAUCACAACCCUAUAUACAAGUUUAUUAUUUAUUUUUUAGACAGGGUAUCUCUCUGUGGCUCAGGCUGGAGUGCACUGGCGCAGUCACGGCUCACUACACUCUUGAAUUACCGGGUUCAAGCAGUCCUCCUGCUUUGGCCUCUUGAGUAGCUGGGACCACAGUCACGCACCAGCACACUUUGCUAAUUUUUGUUUUUUUGUACAGAUGGGUCUCCCUAUGUUGCCUAGGCUGGUCUCGAACUCCUGGCCUCAAGCAAUCCUUCCGUCAUAGCCUCCCAAAGUGCUGGAAUUACAGGCAUGAGCCACAGCACCUAGCCACAAGUUUAUCUUAAACAGAAAAAUGGGGUCAUAACUAUAUGAGUUAUUCUUCAACAUGCUUUAUUUUCACUUAAAAUCCCUCCUAGCAUGUAGUCAUUAUGCAAAUACUAGUAUGCAACAUUUCUUUUGAAAAAUCUUACGUUUUUGCUAUUUUUCUUACCACGAAAACUUUUAAAUAUAUCCUCCUAGUA
rnacentral:lncRNA from 1 species